rnacentral:rRNA from 1 species
CAGCCGCCGCGGAAUACAGAGGGUGCGAGCGUUAAUCGGAUUUACUGGGCGUAAAGCGUGCGUAGGCGGCUUCUUAAGUCGGAUGUGAAAUCCCUGAGCUUAACUUAGGAAUUGCAUUCGAUACUGGGAAGCUAGAGUAUGGGAGAGGAUGGUAGAAUUCCAGGUGUAGCGGUGAAAUGCGUAGAGAUCUGGAGGAAUACCGAUGGCGAAGGCAGCCAUCUGGCCUAAUACUGACGCUGAGGUACGAAAGCAUGGGGAGCAAACAGGAUUAGAUACCCCAGUAGUCCCUGUCUCUUAUACA